GAUCCUGCCCCAAUGCCAGGCACACUGCAGCUAUUUUACAGAGCAGCCAAACAAGUUCAGGCAACCUAGAUCUUUAUCUGCUUUGCUGAAAGGGGCUGGUUACAUUUUAAUCUCAGUUAUAUAAAUGUUUGUUUUGAAAGCAAACUGACCCACUCUAGUCUUCCCUCCUCCUCUGAUUUCCAGUAAAUAACUUCUCCCUUCCCUCAUUCCCUCCCUCCCUUCCUUCCUCCACCCUUUCCGCCCCCCUCAAAAAAAGAAAAGGAAUAUAGAAAAUUAAGAUUACAGUUGUGGACCUGUGUAUUUUUAACUAUCCCUGCAUCUAUGGAAAGAAUCUGUCUAGUUCAUGUUGCCAUAUCUCUGCGGAUUUUGCGUGGCAGUGUUCUCUUCCUACCCACUUCACAGAAGACACUAGCACAUCAGGGGCACUUCCGUGUUGACAGUCUGGGAGAAUUCAACAGUGAAUCUACCUGGGCCUGGACUUACUUCCAUUGGAAAAUUUUUGAUGUUUUUGCUUGUUAUAGAUCUUUUGCACAUAUGGAGGUGAAAGAACCAAUUGUUGGAAUCUGCUCUUUCCUGCUACCAUGCGGGUUUUGUGAAUCAAAUCCAGGUUGUCAAACCUGGUGGCAAGUACCCUUACAUGAAUGACUGAAGCCAGACAGAUUCUUAUGCCUGACGACAGUGGAGAACACUGGAAAUCAUGGUGUUUGGGGGUGUUGUCAUGCACUGCUGAUGAAAGGGACGGUGCCAGGAGUUGCCUUGGAUUUCUCUCUGGGGCUGGGAAAUCCCUCCGCAUUGACCUGACCUCCUAAGAGCAAAGCUACAUUUUCAACUAGAGAAAUAAACAGCACUGGAGACGCUAGUGAUGGAGAGAAAAGCAACCAGCUGUGCACAACCAGGAGCUGCUGUGGGAUCCUUCAGAGGACGCGGCAACUGCUGGAUUCCCUUACAUCUGUUCAGAGGAAACAUGCAUCUCAUAUGUGCAUACACAUCGUAUGUGACACACAUAGCACAUAUGAAUUCAGCUCAAGAAGAUCUACCAUCUUCAUAUAUUCAAGAAUAUAGAUGAUUUCCACCAAGCCCUUCCCUGUCAAGAAGACUCUUGUGCUUUUCACAAAGAGCACAGCCUUUCUUCUCCGUCCUCCUUCAGUUAAAUUGUGCACUGAAAUACAUUCUGAGAAAAGGGAGGUGGAAAGCAACGCAGAGCUCUGGGGAGGAAAAAGCGGGGAGGGUUUGAGGUUGUAUAAAAAUUAAGAGAGAAAAUGGAACAAUGAUUUUGACAGCAGGUGGGAACGCAAAGCUGUUAAUUAAGAGGGCACCCAUGAAGAACAUGAAGACUCAAGUUUCAAGAGGUUUACUGAUUCUUUUCCAGUGUUUUGUGAUGAUUUGAUUAUAUGGUACUAUUUUAAAAUAUCAUUUUAUAGUUUUAUGAAAUGACAGAGGAAGUAGCUUAACAAAAUGAUCAUCCCGGAGGGACAAGGCUGAUGACGAGUAUUUGGCAGCUAUUCAUCAUAUAUAACUCAAAAGUAUUAUUUACCCUGUGGCUAGAAAGACAACUAAUUAUAAGAAGUAGUGAUAAAAUUAAACAUGUGUGCUCAUCUCAAAUAAAUUGGGCAAGUUGGGAUGAAAAGAUGGACAGAUGAAUGAUGGGUAAAUGCAUAGCUGGAAGAAUAAAUUAAUGGAGAAAUGGGCACAAGAUUACUACACCCAUAAGAAAAUAUCAGAUAAUAUUAAUACAGUCAUGUUCAUGUCAAAUAGACAAAAGUAAGAUGAGCCAAAACAACAAAAUCUAAUCGGAGAGUUAUACUUUCUAUAAGGACAGAGGAAAUAGCUAAAGGGAACAGAUCUUUCUGAUGGGAGCCUUGUUUUAACACGAACAGCUCCACAAUUUUAAUACAGUUUAAUAAAUAUUAAAUAAACGUAAGUACGGACAGAGAAAGAAACAAAAAAAAAGGAAGGAAGGAAAGAAGGUGAUAAAAUUAUAUUUGGUAAAACAAGAAUGAUAUUUAUCCAAUACAGUCUAAAGAAUCUUUGUGUCGCAGAAGGAACGCACUUAACAUGUUAGUAGGAACCACUUGAGGCACAGAGGUGGAGCCCAUAUUCACAACUUGAUCCCUGAAGGAAUUUAAAAGGUGUGCCAGAUUUGGGGUGAUGCCUCAGAAGUACUGCCCAGGUUAUCUGAUCAUUCAAAUGAAGGCCUGGAGGGGUGGGUUGUACUGCCCAGCACAGAGGGCUUCCUAGUGGCAGGGAAGUAACCUGACAGCACCAUAGAGACAGAAUGAGACUAAUCAGUUUCACACCCUGUGUCUCCAUCCAGCUCCCUUUGCUCUACAACUGCCCUAUCUUUGUUUAAUGCCCAGUAUCACUUCAGCAUCCAUCCCAGCCUUACUAUGUUCUUGCCGCUACUUAUUCUUUCCUUUUGCCUUUUUGUCUUGCAAACAAUGGCCGCUGGCCAGGCUCACCCCAGCCUCCUUCCUGAAAGUCGGGAGUUCUGUUGCAUGAAAACACACCCUCAUUUCUCUUUUCUGUCUACCAUUCCACAAAAUUCUGUCCUUCGUUCAACUUUGUUUUAUCCCUACUGCUCCCUUUUCUACUGCAUCCCCUCCUCUCUUUUCCCAUUAUUCCCGUUCUCAUCACCAGCCAGGCUGUGUUUCUUCUCUUUUCAUUCAUACCUACAACUAAUAGAUUCGUACACACAGUCUCAUCAGUGUCCCUUUACUACCCCCAGAUGAUUAGUACUUAACGGAUGACAGUUUUGUGAAUUCCCUUACUCUAUCCUUUAGCAAUGACUGGUGGAACAGACAGUACUCUACUCUCAGGGGAAAACUGGCUAUAGAGCUUGAUGUUUGGAAUACUAGAGGAAAUAUGGAGAAAAAUGAUUUUGAC